rnacentral:lncRNA from 1 species
GAAACCAGAAGUUUAAAGCGGUGCCACAGGGCUGAGCAUGUAUUCUCAGGUGAAAAAAACAACGUUCUAUAAAAUUAGCCUUUUUUGUCCAAGACUCAAAAAAAUACUGUUUUUUCAUGCAAAGUCUACAUAGUACAUACAAAGGGCACAGGAGUGUAUAUCUGUAAAAGAAAAAGAAAAACCCCUCACGCUCUUUGGUGGC